AGCUUGUUGGUCAGGUAAUGGCUCACCAAGGCUAUGACGGGUAGGGGAAGUGAGAGCUUGUUCCCCAACAAGGGCACUGAGACACGGGCCUUACUCCUACGGGAGGCAGCAGUCGAGAAUCUUCCACAAUGGGCGAAAGCCUGAUGGAGCGACGCCGCGUGCAUGAAGAAGCCCUUCGGGGUGUAAAGUGCUUUUCUAUCUGAGGAAUUUUUGACUUUAGGAUAGGAAUAAGGGGCUGCUAAACUCGUGCCAGCAGCAGCGGUAAUACGAGUGCCCCAAGCGUUGUCCGGAAUCACUGGGCGUAAAGCGUCUGUAGGGGGUUUGGUACGUUUUCUGUUAAAUCUUGUUGCUCAACAACAAAAUCGCAGGGAAAACGGCCAGACUAGAGGAUGUGAGAGGUUGAUGGAACUCAGGGAGGAGGGGUGAAAUCCGUUGAUACUCUGAGGAACACCAAAGGCGAAGGCAUUCAACUGGCGCAUUCCUGACCCUGAGAGACGAAAGCUAGAGGAGAGAAUGGGAUUAGAUACCCCAGUAUUUCUAGCUGUAAACGCUGGGUACUAGCUGUUUGAAGUAUCGACCCUUCAAGUGGCGAAGCUAACGCGUUAAGUACCCCGCCUGGGAAGUACGGUCGCAAGACUAAAACUCAAAGGAAUAGACGGGAGCUUGCACAAACGGUGGAGCGUCUGGUUUAAUUCGACGAUAAGCGAAGAACCUUACCAGGGUUUGACACUCUAACGACGAUUUUCCGAAAGGAGAAUUUUCUACAAGGACGUUAGAGCAGGUGCUGCAUGGUUGUCGUCAGCUUGUGGCGUGAGUUGCUCCGUUAAGUCGGGUAACAAGCGCAACCCUCGUCUUGUGUUACAAGUGUCACAAGAGACUGCCUCGGUUUAUCGAGGAGGAAGGUGAGGAUGACGCCAAAUCAGCAUGGCCUUUUGAUACCCUGGGCCACACAGGCGCUACAAUGGCCAAUACAAUGGGUUGCUAAGCCGUAAGGUGGAGCCAAUCCCAUCAAAGUUGGUCUAAGUUCGGAUUGAGGUCUGAAAUUCGACCUCAUGAAGUUGGAAUCGUUAGUAAUCGCGAAUCAGCCACGUCGCGGUGAAUACGUUCUCAAGCUUUGUACUCACCGCCUGUCACGCCAGAGAAGCCGGGGGCACCCGACGUCCCUACAUUAGUAGGGCCUAAGGUGAAUUCGGUGACUAGGGCUGGCAAGCCCUUGUAUUUGUCU
rnacentral:rRNA from 1 species